AAAUCUCUGGACUCCCUUCUACUGAGUACGAAGUUGAACAUCUUGCCUUGCCACAGCAAUUUGAUUACGUAGACUGCUUGGCUGCUACUCAUGGAGUACCUGGUCAUUCCAAAUGCAAUUUUCAAAUAUUUAUAAGCCUGGUAAGGAUGUCACAAGCUUAGAAGUGUAAAUAAAACUGUAUUUACUGGGUAUUGUCCCGCCGUUGCUACUAUCACAAGGUAUAGAUCCCUGUAACAGUAUGACAAUUUGGUAGCAAUGUUGUAAUUAUAUUAUUGUAUAGUAAAUUGUCAUACUGUUACAGGGAUCUAUACCUUGUGAUAGUAACAACGGCGGGACAAUACCCAGUAAAUACAGUUUUAUUUACACUUCUAAGCUUGUGACAUCCUUACCAGGCUUAUAAAUAUUUGAAAAUUGCAUUUGGAAUGACCAGGUACUCCAUGAGUAGCAGCCAAGCAGUCUACGUAAUCAAAUUGCUGUGGCAAGGCAAGAUGUUCAACUUCGUACUCAGUAGAAGGGAGUCCAGAGAUUUUGCAAACAAGACACUAGCAAAGGCUUGUCAAAAUGGCUACAAGGAAUGGUCCCCAACUGAAGCUGAUGACGACCGAUUUAAGUGUAGGGCCUUCUUGGACGCCCGAACAUUCUUAAGAGUCAUCAUGAGUUUCUGUCUCUCCCCUUCAACCUCCGCAAAUUGAAGGCUUAGCUGAGAGUAGCGGUCAUGCAUCUCUUUUAGUUCACUCUCCACAGCCGUAUACCUUCCCUUCAGUUCCAGCAUGUCUUUAAUCAGCUCAUUGAUAUCUCUAAAGCUUUUGAAUACUGCUUCCUCAUCACUGUGUUGUUUCAAGAAAGAACUCUGAAAAUGGAUGCUUGAUUGCUUCUUUGCCUGCAGAGCUUCUGCAAGCUCAAUUUCUAAUGCAAGCACCCUUUCUAACGCAUUGCCAGUCCCUGAAAAUUCAUUAAACAAAGGGAACAUGCUUCCUAGUUCUUCAUUGGCCUUUUCUAACUGCAUAAAUUCUCUUUGUAAAGUAGGAAAUUUCUGGUGAAAACCAUGAUUAUCUUGCAGAAGUGAAUUCUCGUUUUUCAUCCUCUUCAACUCAUUACUCAAGUGGUCCAUGCUAGACUUUAAACUUUCGGCUCUGAAAUGUUCAUUGAUAAGAGCUAAAUGCUUCAUGUCACUGUGCAGCAAC
rnacentral:misc_RNA from 1 species